rnacentral:misc_RNA from 1 species
UAUACAAAAGUUCUCACAGGAAGACAUGAAUAGAAGAUUUUUCUUAACUAUUUAAACCAAGUGAGAUGAGCACUGUUUGUGGUAUGAAAUUGAUGAUGACACAAUAAGCCAGCUCCUUAGAUGACAAAGGAUUAAUUUGCACUUGAAUAAUUUGAUAUGAAAAGAUUCAUCAAAAUGUCCAGAGUUGACCAAAAUUUAAGAAUGGCUAAAACAAGGCAUUUUAGGUAUGCACACAUUAGAUAAAAUUUAUGGACUCCCUUAACUUUCAUGAAAUUUAUUACAGCUUCAAUUUGCUUGAAAUUGACAAUAUGAAAUGCAUAAACAACAUAAGCAACAUUUAGUGAGAGAAGAGGAGAGCUUAGAGGAAUAUCAUAUGAAGAUCAAACACCAGCUCUUCUGACCAAAUCCUUUUUCUUACAUAUCCAAAUGUUCACUUCCAUACUGGGACCCUCAAGCAGUGAUUUUAAAUUGUUUAGGCGCACAUAGACUAUAUCUUUGUGUGUGUAUAUAUAUGUUUUUUGUUGGGGGGGGCGGGGGGCGCGCGGGGGCCGGGUGAGGGAAUGGGAUCAAAGGGACAAAUAAUAGUAUCUCCCAUACUAAUCCCCAGAGUGAGUGCACUGCAAUUUACAUAAAUGCAGGUGGCCACCAAACUAAUAAUUUGAAACCACAUAUUCAGCUACUAUCCUGUUGUAUUGCACAUGCUCAACCUGUCAAAUAAAAGCAUAAUGAAAGCAAAUUGAAAUACAUAGCACUUGAUACCAAUAAAAUGUAAAUAUCAUACUUUUAAAACUUCAGAAAACUCUGAUUAGAGGCCCCAUACAAGAAAAUGAUUUUUAAUUUCACUCACAGCUUGGAUCACUUGAUGCAGAAAGUAAUAAAUAAAUAUUAUGCAUGUCUAUGUAUAUUUUUGAAUAUUAAAUUCUUACUACACUAUGAAACCAUAGAUUAGAUUUGUGUUUGCCCUCAAAUCAUAUUUAUAUCUGUUUAUCAACAAUCAAAUCAUGCCCAUUUGCUGUUAGGUCAAGGAAUUUGACAUAUGAAUUUGUUUCAGUGAUUUUUUUUCCUCAACUUUUUUCCAUCAUCAUCAAAGAUGUAUACCAAACUUGGAAGAGAAGUUGGUAUCAUGCACCUUUCCAAUUGAGAUCAAAAUUCUCCUAUGGGAUGGGACUCCAAAAAUUUGAUCCAACACAUAGAAUAGAAAGUGUACGAAAUUACAUCCAGCUAGAACUUCCCCACAACUGAAACUUCAUGAGAUUUAGCCCAUGAAGGGUAUUAUUGUCAUUUUACAGAAACAAGCCUGGAUUUCAAUCUUCCAAUGCUUUAUUCUGUCAGAUAAUUUCCAGUCCAAAUAUUAUCCGCUUGAGGAGAAACAAAUGGUUCAACCACUGUGUACCAGUCUGGCAAACCCCAUAAUACAACUGUUUCAACUUUCAAGACACUAUUUUUUUUUUUUUCUGGGGUUAAAAACAACGUUCAUUUCAGUGCCUUUACCAAUUAACCAGAGCAAAUAUAAGUGGAGGGAAGAUGUGCCGCAACACCAGUAACCUCAAAUGACAAAACUAACCUCAAAAAGCACUUACUGGCUAAAACAAAGUUUCGGAAGAAAAAAAUUGCAAAGAUAAUGAAAUUACGAGAGUGCCACCUGGACACCCAAGCUCGACACCUUUCUUGGUAGAAAAGCAAGACCCACUUUCGUGAAAAAGGUGACAGUGACCAACCCGUUAACUAAUCCACAUAAUCCAAACAUAUAAUUACAACUUUUUAAUGAUAAUCUUGGAAAAUCUCAAGCUAAUGAUUAAUUAAUCAAUUACAUAAAUGACAACUAACCUUGUUGCAGCCUGGGACCAGCUC